AGAGUUUGAUCUUGGCUCAGGACGAACGCUGGCGGCGUGCCUGAUACAUGCAAGUAGAACGCUGAAGACUGGUGCUUGCACUAGUCAGAUGAGUUGCGAACGGGUGAGUAACGCGUAGGUAACCUACCUCAUAGCGGGGGAUAACUAUUGGAAACGAUAGCUAAUACCGCAUGACAAUUAAGUACUCAUGUACUAAAUUUAAAAGGAGCAAUUGCUUCACUAUGAGAUGGACCUGCGUUGUAUUAGCUAGUUGGUGAGGUAACGGCUCACCAAGGCCACGAUACAUAGCCGACCUGGGAGGGUGAUCGGCCACACUGGGACUGAGACACGGCCCAGACUCCUACGGGAGGCAGCAGUAGGGAAUCUUCGGCAAUGGGGGCAACCCUGACCGAGCAACGCCGCGUGAGUGAAGAAGGUUUUCGGAUCGUAAAGCUCUGUUGUUAGAGAAGAACGGUAAUGGGAGUGGAAAAUCCAUUACGUGACGGUAACUAACCAGAAAGGGACGGCUAACUACGUGCCAGCAGCCGCGGUAAUACGUAGGUCUCGAGCGUUGUCCGGAUUUAUUGGGCGUAAAGCGAGCGCAGGCGGUUAUUUAAGUCUGAAGUUAAAGGCCGUGGCUCAACCAUGGUUCGCUUUGGAAACUGGAUAACUUGAGUGCAGAAGGGGAGAGUGGAAUUCCAUGUGUAGCGGUGAAAUGCGUAGAUAUAUGGAGGAACACCGGUGGCGAAAGCGGCUCUCUGGUCUGUAACUGACGCUGAGGCUCGAAAGCGUGGGGAGCAAACAGGAUUAGAUACCCUGGUAGUCCACGCCGUAAACGAUGAGUGCUAGGUGUUAGGCCCUUUCCGGGGCUUAGUGCCGCAGCU
rnacentral:rRNA from 1 species